rnacentral:rRNA from 1 species
GACGAACGCUGCGGCGUGCUUAACCCAUGCAAGUCGAACGGAAAGGCCCUGCUUUUGUGGGGUGCUCGAGUGGCGAACGGGUGAGUAACACGUGAGUAACCUGCCCUUGACUUUGGGAUAACUUCAGGAAACUGGGACUAAUACCGGAUAGGAGCUCCUGCUGCAUGGUGGGGGUUGGAAAGUUUCGGCGGUUGGGGAUGGACUCGCGGCUUAUCAGCUUGUUGGUGGGGUAGUGGCUUACCAAGGCUUUGACGGGUAGCCGGCCUGAGAGGGUGACCGGCCACAUUGGGACUGAGAUACGGCCCAGACUCCUACGGGAGGCAGCAGUGGGGAAUAUUGCACAAUGGGCGGAAGCCUGAUGCAGCAACGCCGCGUGCGGGAUGACGGCCUUCGGGUUGUAAACCGCUUUCGCCUGUGACGAAGCGUGAGUGACGGUAAUGGGUAAAGAAGCACCGGCUAACUACGUG